CCAGCCUCCUCCCUCGGCUCAGCUGUGCGACUUGGCCAUCUCUAAUUAUGCCUGCUCUCCGGUUGCAUCCUCCCUGUCCUCUGACGCCCUCGUCACACUGCUGACUUGCAAGGUGCCGAGCAGCGUGAACAGCAGCGCAGAGGCGUGGAAGCUUUUCUUCCAGAAAGUCGCGGGAGUUCUGGAGGUUGCUCUGUCAGCGUACUCCAACAACACCCUCGGUGGCCAUCAGCCUGAGUCCCGUGUUCUCGAUGCCAUUGGAGAGGUGAAAGUCC